CAAAAAAAAGUUUGUGAAAAUGGCAAAUAAAAAGUUUGUGAAACUGCGAGUAAUCCGCACUUUUACAGCGACUGACUGUGUGUGUUUGUAUUUUCUAGGGAGAAGAGGUUGUAGCUGGAACUAGCCUACUGUGUGUGUGUGUGAGAAUAGUGUUGUUAUCCUUUUAACUUGUCUUCACUUUGUUCCAAGAUAAGAGCACAAUGUCCCUCCAACAGGACAGCGGAGCGAGGACUCACACAGACAGACGGCAACAUCCUCCGUCCCAAAUGCCACUCUAUUCCCUAUAUAUAUUCCUCAGAGCUCUGGUCAAAAGUAGUGCAUUUUAAAGGGAAUGUUGCCGUUUUGUACGCAGGCACAGACACUAUCAUAGAGUUGGGUAGAGGGUGCACAUGAACAGAAACGAUUAUUGAACAUCUAGCCCUCUAGCCAACUUUAUGUACAGCAUAGACAGCUGUGAGGUUGUCAGCAGUUUGAGGCCAGGAUUCAGUCCGAUCGGCUAAGCACCUUUUUAAAGGCAAUGUUCCCACGUUCGUGGAGACCUCAUUCACGGUAAACGCUGCUUCUGUCAGCUCAAUUGGAAAUGACCUUUAAAUGUCAUGAGGCAGAUCUAAUGAGGAUUUGAAUGAAUCCCAGCCUUAGUGUCAUUAAAGGGGACGUUCAGUAUUUUGGCCUUUGGCUUUUAAAGUUAGCUGGCUGUUUUAAAUCGAACCAGGGACUUCAGUUUCUCCUGAACCAUUGAAUACUUCCAGGGUGAGGAACAAUCUAACAUUAAGUUGUAAAAUCCUGAACUUCCCCUUUAAUAUUCAUAUUAUCUCAGCUUCAGUGAAUUUGGACACAUUUUGCACAGAUGUAUAGAUGACUGACUGACCAGGACUGUGAUCAUAGAAGCGAUAAACUAAUCAAUGUACCAUUCAACAAAGACAAUCUACAUCUCGCCCAUUCUGCUAUCUCUAUUUCUAUCUGUUUAGAUUUUAGCUUUUUGUAUCCAUUUAAAUUUAUUUAAAGAUGUUUUUUUUUUGUCAGGUUUCAAUGUUCUGUAGUAGAUCGUUUUGGACUCGUUAUGAUAUUGUGAUGACUUAAUUGGUUCAUUAAUAAAUGCAAUCAAGUGUC